GCCCAACUGAUGAGAGGAGCCCAAUACUUGGCUUUUUAGGGUUUCACCUCUUUCUCUCUAAUCAGUCCCUCACUCCCUCUCCCUCCCCUCCCCUCCCCGUCAUUCACCACUUUCUCUCAUUUCAAACUCAGGCCCUCUCAUUUCAAGGAGCAACGAGAAGACCUUUGUUCUGUAGGUUGUUGUUUUGGUGGUUAACUUGAGAAGCGAUUGCGUUCAUCUUGAGACGAGAAACUUGACCGGCGGCUUCAUACAAGAGCUUCCAAGCGGCUUCGUUUUUUAGCAGAGGUGUCACCGGCGGUAGAAAUCGUGGUGAAGGUCCGUUUGGGCUACCGUUGCUCGAAAACCCACUGCGGUUCGACCACGGUCCGAACCCGGUUAGCUUCAAUUGUGGCAACGUUGAGAACAACCAUGGUUUCUAAAAACAGAAAUCAACAAACAAAUUCAGUUUUUCUUUCUCAAAUCUAUGAGUUGAUUUUGUAGAACGAAUUAGAAGAGAUUAUUAGCAUAUUACCUCGGUGUUAGAGUUUGGGGAGUCCUGGAGAGUAGACUGAGCGAGGUGGCAAGUCAACUCGACUAAGAAAUCGUCGUCGUCUUCAUUGAUAUUAAGCUUCUCGUCAUUGUUGCUGUCACCACGUUCAGUCUCAGUGGAGCUAAUCGGCGAGGCAAGGGACGAGUUAGGGUCAAACCAUUAAUUGGAAGGUCUCCCCCUUCUCUUUGGCUUAAAAUGCAUUUGACUUUCCUUAAAUUAAAUUUAAUUGAUUUUAGGUUCACUUUGUUCUUGGAUUUGUUGCUUGAAUCAACUUAUUUUUUAAAUUUAUCACUUAAAAUCUAAAAUUUGAUUAUGCUUAUGAUAUAUUACACCUGAAUUUAUUUUAAAAUUUAUAUAAUUUUUAUUGUAAUUGCAUGGUAGUUAAUUGUUUAUUGUUGUUUUGAUGAGAAGAGUGUAGCUUAGGAGCUGUUUAUCUAGUAUUUCUAUCUUAGUAUUAUUCUUGCUGCUGGAAAAUUCAAAUUCUGAGAGUUUGCGCAACACAGAUGCAUAUUUUCAUACUAAUGAGGUUGUGAUGUAGUUUAACAUGUUUUGUUUAAUUAUGCAAUGUAGACAUGUAUUGACCAAGAACUCAAACAUCUGUUUCUUUUCGUUCUUUGAAGGUCUCAUAUAUUAGAUGUUUUGGGGGGAUAAUUCGAGUCCUAUAAACACUAAUAUCAAUAAUGUAUAUUUUCCUCUAGUGUUUUGGAAGAUAAUUCAAGCUAGAGAAAUCAGAUAGUAGUUAAUAACUGCUAUUUUAGGUAUGUUUAUACUGAUCUACUACAGAGAAUGAGUGAUUUUUGGAAAAUUGUACUGUAUCAGCUGGUAAUUUUGUGAAAUGCAGAAUAAGUGGUAAAAGAAUGAUGUUGUUCAGUAAUGUUCAGUGUACACUUUAUUUAGGCAAAAUUAUUUAUGCUUGCUCCUUCCUUUAAAAGUGUCUGUUACCAUUUUGUGAAAUCUAGUUACUUAUCUGCAUAUGUUUGCUUCUACAUUCAUUUAAUAUACACAGAUAAUGCCUAUUGUAAAUCAAUUUGUAUUUCAUUAAUCUCAUAUGCAUUAUUGUUUGUGAUCUUAUACUGUAGGUGAGUUAUCUUAUAUGCUCUUUUUAAUUAUUCGUAACGCUUGAUUAAUUUAUGCAUGAGCCGUGGUUGAUGGAAUUAUUGGGAUUUUAUGUGUUUCUGCUACUGACUUUUAUCUUCUCGAGGAGACCUUCUUAUAACUUGCAUGCAAAUUUUAGUUCUGAUGCUGCUUACAGCUAUGGUUAUCCAACUCAGAAAUCCUAACUUAUUAUCAUAACAUUGGUGUUAGGGAGGUGAACAGGAGAUGGACUUGUUGUUUACUAGAGCUAGAAAUCUUCUAUUACUUGAUUGUCUUGUUGUUUCUAAUUGAUCAGAAAAUGCACAAUGAGGCUAAAUCUUGUGCUUCUGCAAGCAUUGCUCGUUUAAAAUCAUUAAAAAGAAGGGUGGUUGGUGUGUUGGCAUCCAAAUAUAUUCUUUCUAUUCAUUGAGCUAUGAGCUCACUAGUGAUCUUGCUGAAAUCUGUGGGUAGGCUCAGAAUUGCUAUUUGCCUUAAUAUCUUGUAUUGAUAUAAGAUUAACCCUAAUGUACAUAGGCAAUCAAGAAAUAUGUUUCAUAAAGUUAUUAAUUUUGUUGUGCUACUUUAGCGCUUUAAUCUAAUUCUUUUAUGCUCCAAUGAACUCCUCACCUUGCAUCGGCUGGCUACAUUGCACCAUGAUGAGCUUGGUCAGGAAACAAUUCUAAACCUUUCUGCUUCGCAAUUACCUCCAUUAAAACUUGUAUGAUCUGAGGUCCAAGGCACCUAGUUUUAGGGCUCAUUCCAAUCAGCAGGUAUUCUCUAUUACUUGUAAUGCUAGUAAUGUCUUUUUAUGAUUUCUUAUUCACCAGUGUAGUAAAGCAAUAUUUACACUAAGAAAUCUGUGAUCCUUUGUCGUUUCACAUUUUGUACCUGCUCUUCUAAUAAUAUGAGAAGUUGAUUUGAUAAUUUUAUCCCAAAUCUGUAAAAGUGAUGUUGGCUAUUGCAAAAGUCAAAAAAUUUAAUCCUAUAUUAAUUGAUAACUUGCUAUUUUAUGCGGUUUUAGGGCGUAUUUGAACCUAGUUUACC